AAGCUAUUUUGAAAAAUAUGUUAUGUGCAGGCGAUGUUAUUGUAACAGUUAAUGAUUGGUUAAUAACUGCUAUGGAUAGACCUCAUGUUGCCAUGCAUCUGUUACAAGCAGGAGCUAACGAAGUAAAACUGGGAAUCCAGAAACCAGGAUUAAAGGGAACUAACGCCAACAGUAUUAUUGGAGUUUUAUGAUUUCUUUCACACUUUGCAACGUUUUGUCUUUCUGUGUUUGAUCAACAAAUAUUAAAGUGAGAUCGUUAUGUUUAUACUUCUAAAUACUUGUGAAUAUCUUUUCAAUUAGUUGAAACCCCGCAAUUUGAAAAUUAUUUACAUUUCAGCUUGCCUAUAAUCGCUCCGGCACUUUUCAACUUUAAUAAUUUUUUUGAAAACACUUUUGUGUCGUUUAUCAAUUCGGGAACAUAACUUUUUUUAUCAUUUAUUAAUGCUAUGAUCAUGUUAAACUGUAAUUUUGUGGCUCUCAUUGUACUUUAUCUUGAUUAUUUUAUAUAGUUUACCAUUGUGAUUACACCGCAUUAUCUUAAAUAUAUUUCCUGUAACAAA